rnacentral:rRNA from 1 species
GACGAACGCUGGCGGCGUGCCUAAUACAUGCAAGUAGAACGCUGAAGCGAGGAGCUUACUCUUCUUGGAUGAGUUGCGAACGGGUGAGUAACGCGUAGGUAACCUGCCUUGUAGCGGGGGAUAACUAUUGGAAACGAUAGCUAAUACCGCAUAACAAUGGAUGACACAUGUCAUUUAUUUGAAAGGGGCAAUUGCUCCACUACAAGAUGGACCUGCGUUGUAUUAGCUAGUAGGUGAGGUAAUGGCUCACCCAGGCGACGAUACAUAGCCGACCUGAGAGGGUGAUCGGCCACACUGGGACUGAGACACGGCCCAGACUCCUACGGGAGGCAGCAGUAGGGAAUCUUCGGCAAUGGGGGCAACCCUGACCGAGCAACGCCGCGUGAGUGAAGAAGGUUUUCGGAUCGUAAAGCUCUGUUGUAAGUCAAGAACGGGUGUGAGAGUGGAAAGUUCACACUGUGACGGUAGCUUACCAGAAAGGGACGGCUAACUACGUG